rnacentral:rRNA from 1 species
GACAGAGGGUGCAAACGUUGUUCGGAAUUACUGGGCGUAAAGCGCGUGUAGGCGGUCUCAUAAGUCGGGUGUGAAAGCCCUGGGCUCAACCCAGGAAGUGCACUCGAUACUGCGAGGCUAGAGUAUCGGAGAGGUUGGUGGAAUUCUCGGUGUAGAGGUGAAAUUCGUAGAUAUCGAGAGGAACACCGGUGGCGAAGGCGGCCAACUGGACGAAUACUGACGCUGAGACUCGAAAGCGUGGGGAGCAAACAGG